UACGGAGGUGCGAGCGUUGUCCGGAAUCACUGGGCGUAAAGGCGCGUAGGCGGCCUGAUAAGUAGGGGGUGAAAUCCUGCGGCUUAACCCGCAGGGCUGCCUUCUAAACUGUCAGGCUAGAGCACAGUAGAGGCAGGUGGAAUUCCGGUGUAGCGGUGGAAUGCGUAGAGAUCGGGAAGAACAUCAGGUGGCGAAAGGCG
rnacentral:rRNA from 1 species